rnacentral:rRNA from 1 species
CCUACGGGCGGCAGCAGUGGGGAAUAUUGGGCAAUGGGCGCAAGCCUGACCCAGCAACGCCGCGUGAAGGAAGAAGGCUUUCGGGUUGUAAACUUCUUUUAAGGGGGAAGAGCAGAAGACGGUACCCCUUGAAUAAGCCACGGCUAACUACGUGCCAGCAGCCGCGGUAAUACGUAGGUGGCAAGCGUUGUCCGGAUUUAAUGGGUGUAAAGGGCGUGCAGGCGGGAAGACAAGUCAGAUGUGAAAUCCACGGGCUCAACCCGUGAACUGCAUUUGAAACUGUUUCCCUUGAGUGUCGGAGGGGUAAUCGGAAUUCCUUGUGUAGCAGUGAAAUGCGUAGAUAUAAGGAAGAACACCAGUGGCGAAGGCGGAUUACUGGACGAUAACUGACGGUGAGGCGCGAAGGCGUGGGGAGCGAACAGGAUUAGAUACCCUUGUAGUC